rnacentral:rRNA from 1 species
CAGUCGCCGCGGUAAUACGUAGGGUGCGAGCGUUAAUCGGAAUUACUGGGCGUAAAGCGUGCGCAGGCGGUUUUGUAAGACAGGCGUGAAAUCCCCGGGCUCAACCUGGGAAUGGCGCUUGUGACUGCAAAGCUAGAGUGCGGCAAAGGGGGAUGGAACUCCGCGUGUAGCAGUGAAAUGCGAAGAUAUGCGGAGGAACACCGAUGGCGAAGGCAAUCCCCUGGGCCUGCACUGACGCUCAUGCACGAAAGCGUGGGGAGCAAACAGGAUUAGAUACCCCCGUAGUCCCUGUCUCUUAUAC